UUAACUGGGCUCGAGCCCCACAGUAAAGUCUCGAUCCUCCGCCGGCCAGAGCCCACAUCUCUGAUUCAGCAACAGGAGCAGGUGUUCAGGGCAAUCUGGGUUAGGUCCACUGAAAACCAAAGGAAAUAACAUUGGUCUGAUUCAAGGCCUUCAGAAAUGAGUCAGCCCCUGAGCCCAUCAACCAUCACUGUUACCCAACAUCACACCCACAUUAUUCAUGAAGUAUUGUCUUCAGCUUACUAGACAACAGAACCCCACCAGACUCUGGGAGGCUGAGGAUGACUUAUCGGUCUGCUGUGGGCUCAACAUCAAGUACAUGCCUUACCUCCGUCCAAAAACUGGAGUGGAAGAGCGCUGAGUCAGGAAGGCUUACGGCCCAAGGCAUCUUCCCACAAGCCUCUGGUCACCCUGAACAGUCUGUUCUGGCUUUCCCACCUUGGAAAAAAGUCCUCUAUGAGUGCAAUGAGUGGAAAGAGUCCUAGAGGAAGAGUUGGGGCCAGGUGGUCAGGUCGGAGUCUUCUUUCACAUGAGAAGCCUUGUCUUCCUGAUUCUGGCAUCCUCAGCAAACAGACACAGUCGGGUGCAGUGAGUGGCAGUCCAACAGAACUUCUCAAGGGGCUGGCAUGUUCAAAGGUCCUGCAGUGGGAAGGUGCAUGGAAAAUUUGAAGAACAUGGUAUAGAAAAAAAUCCAAUCAUUAGCUACUGGCUCCCAGCAGCUACUUUAGCCAAUCCUCCAACCUCCUCAUUGGCAUGGCAAGACCAUGGAAGCCUGGAGCCCUGAUGCCUACUCCAGCCCUUCUGCUCCUCUCACUGACCAGAAACCUUCCCUUACAGAAGCCCCAAGGUCAUCUGAACCUCAGAAGACCAAGGAAGCAGAAAUAUACCAAAUGAAGAUCCUGAGGCCUUUGUGUUUAGUUACCGUAAAGAAAUAAUUCCCCAAACCUGGCUAUUUGUACUUGGCAUUGGAUAAUUCAAAGGUGGUUGAGGAAGGUACUGGGGAAGGAAGCCCAGGCAGGGGCUGUGGUUGCCAGGUGGGGAGGGAAGACUUUGUAAACUAACCCAAAAGCAAGCAUGGGGUGCGCGCCUGUCUUCCAUGUAGUUCCUCACCCCCUGCUGCCAACACGCCCAUGAUGCAUGGGAGCGGCCCAGUGCCGCCAACCACAGUGAAGGCUUAUCCUCCACCCCAUGCCACUCUUCUCCAACCUCCUGGAAAAUGGUCUCCGUUCCCAUCCUUCCUCUGCAAGAGCCUGCCGUAACUUCAGCUAUUAGCCCUCGCAGGAGCACUUACAGUUAAUAAAAACAAGGACCUUAACACUCCA